CGUAGGGUGCCUGCGGAGGGAUCAUUACACAAAUAUGAAGGCGGGCUGGAACCUCUCGGGGUUACAGCCUUGCUGAAUUAUUCACCCUUGUCUUUUGCGUACUUCUUGUUUCCUUGGUGGGUUCGCCCACCACUAGGACAAACAUAAACCUUUUGUAAUUGCAAUCAGCGUCAGUAACAAAUUAAUAAUUACAACUUUCAACAACGGAUCUCUUGGUUCUGGCAUCGAUGAAGAACGCAGCGAAAUGCGAUAAGUAGUGUGAAUUGCAGAAUUCAGUGAAUCAUCGAAUCUUUGAACGCACAUUGCGCCCUUUGGUAUUCCAAAGGGCAUGCCUGUUCGAGCGUCAUUUGUACCCUCAAGCUUUGCUUGGUGUUGGGCGUCUUGUCUCUAGCUUUGCUGGAGACUCGCCUUAAAGUAAUUGGCAGCCGGCCUACUGGUUUCGGAGCGCAGCACAAGUCGCACUCUCUAUCAGCAAAGGUCUAGCAUCCAUUAAGCCUUUUUUUCAACUUUGACCUCGGAUCAG
rnacentral:rRNA from 1 species